rnacentral:rRNA from 1 species
UACGUAGGGUGCGAGCGUUAAUCGGAAUUACUGGGCGUAAAGCGUGCGCAGGCGGUCUGUUAAGACCGAUGUGAAAUCCCCGGGCUUAACCUGGGAACUGCAUUGGUGACUGGCAGGCUUUGAGUGUGGCAGAGGGGGGUAGAGUUCCACGUGUAGCAGUGAAAUGCGUAGAGAUGUGGAGGAAUACCGAUGGCGAAGGCAGCCUCCUGGGCCAACACUGACGCUCAUGCACGAAAGCGUGGGGAGCAAACAGG